AGUAAUGAAUCGCUAAUGUACCCCGGACUCUGGGAUAGCUAUCCGAAAGGGUAGGUAAUACCAGAUGACAUAACCGAACCGCAUGGUUUGGUUCUCAAAGGUCCGCCGGUCUGGGAGCAGGCGAUUUCGUAUCAGCUAGUUGGUGAGGUAACGGCUCACCAAGGCGACGACGCGUAGCCGGACUGAGAGGUUGGCCGGCCACAUUGGGACUGAGACACUGCCCAG
rnacentral:rRNA from 1 species